rnacentral:piRNA from 1 species
UCCCUAAAGAGAGGGAUGCCAUGUUGAC